rnacentral:rRNA from 1 species
AGCAGCCGCGGUAAUUCCAGCUCCAAUAGCGUAUAUUAAAGUUGUUGCAGUUAAAAAGCUCGUAGUUGAAUUUCGGGAUUAGUAGUCUGGUCGUGCCACUGGUAUGUACUGGUCUUACUGAUUUCUCCUUCCUGAAGAACUGUAAUGUCAUUAAUUUGGUGUUGCGGGGAAUCUGGACUGUUACUUUGAAAAAAUUAGAGUGUUUAAAGCAGGCUAACGCUUGAAUACAUUAGCAUGGAAUAAUGAAAUAGGACGAUCGAUCCUAUUUUGUUGGUUUCUAGGAUUGACGUAAUGAUUAAUAGGGAUAGUUGGGGGCAUUAGUAUUCAAUUGUCAGAGGUGAAAUUCUUGGAUUUAUUGAAGACUAACUACUGCGAAAGCAUUUGCCAAGGAUGUUUUCAUUAAUCAAGAACGAAAGUUAGGGGAUCGAAGACGGUCAGAUACCGUCGUAGUCUUAACCAUAAACUAUGCCGACUAGGGAUCGGAUGAUGUUAAUUUUAUAAUGA